GACGAACGCUGGCGGCGUGCUUAACACAUGCAAGUCGAACGGAAAGGCCCUGCUUGCAGGGUGCUCGAGUGGCGAACGGGUGAGUAACACGUGGGUGAUCUGCCCCUUACUUUGGGAUAAGCCUGGGAAACUGGGUCUAGUACUGGAUAGGACCAUGCUGUAGGUGGUGUGGUGGAAAGAUUAGUUUCGGUAAGGGAUGAGCUCGUGGCCUAUCAGCUUGUUGGUGGGGUAAUGGCCUACCAAGGCGUCGACGGGUAGCCGGCCUGAGAGGGUGGACGGCCACAUUGGGACUGAGAUACGGCCCAGACUCCUACGGGAGGCAGCAGUGGGGAAUAUUGCACAAUGGGCGCAAGCCUGAUGCAGCGACGCCGCGUGGGGGAUGACGGCCUUCGGGUUGUAAACUCCUUUCAGCCAUGACGAAGCCCUUGUGGUGACGGUAGUGGUAGAAGAAGCACCGGCUAACUACGUG
rnacentral:rRNA from 1 species